GCCGCGCACUUUUUUCGUCACGUCCUCUUUCCGUUGCUCUUCUCGCUUUGAGAAACCUCUCCACACGAUGAGAGCCAAGUGGAGGAAGAAGCGUAUGCGCAGGCUGAAGCGUAAAAGGAGAAAGAUGAGGCAGAGGUCAAAGUAAGCCCUCAUCCCUGUCAGCUGUGAUCCCAUCUGAGCCUUUCCAGAUGACAUACUUGGACCCUCUGCUGGUGAUGAAACAAAAGUCCCAAGUCCUGACCAGAUAAAUAAGGACGCCAACCGAGCGAGCUGGGCGUUUCUGGAAGUUUGGCAAAGAUGCUGGAGUGACAUGUCAUCCACUGCACAGCUGCUUUGUUCAUGGACCAUAAUGCAUCUCUUUACUUGCAAUUGUUAAUGUGGUGUAUUGAACAACAAAAUAAACACUGUUAAAAUAGUA